AUUGAACGCUGGCGGCAUGCUUUACACAUGCAAGUCGAACGGCAGCGCGGGGCAACCUGGCGGCGAGUGGCGAACGGGUGAGUAAUACAUCGGAACGUACCCAGAAGUGGGGGAUAACGUAGCGAAAGUUACGCUAAUACCGCAUACGUUCUACGGAAGAAAGUGGGGGACCUUCGGGCCUCAUGCUUUUGGAGCGGCCGAUGUCCGAUUAGCUAGUUGGUGAGGUAAAGGCUCACCAAGGCGACGAUCAGUAGCUGGUCUGAGAGGACGACCAGCAACACUGGGACUGAGACACGGCCCAGACUCCUACGGGAGGCAGCAGUGGGGAAUUUUGGACAAUGGGCGCAAGCCUGAUCCAGCAAUGCCGCGUGAGUGAAGAAGGCCUUCGGGUUGUAAAGCUCUUUUGUCAGGGAAGAAACGGCUGAGGUUAAUACCUUCGGCUAAUGACGGUACCUGAAGAAUAAGCACCGGCUAACUACGUGCCAGCCGCCGCCGUAAGAC
rnacentral:rRNA from 1 species